rnacentral:rRNA from 1 species
UACGGAGGGUGCAAGCAUUGAUCGGAAUUACUGGGCGUAAAGGGCGCGUAGGCGGCCGAGAAAGUCAGAUGUGAAAUACCGGGGCUCAACCUCGGGGCUGCAUUUGAAACUCCUCGGCUAGAGGAUGGUUAGGGAAAACGGAAUUCCACGUGUAGCGGUGAAAUGCGUAGAUAUGUGGAAGAACACCGGUGGUGAAGACGGUUUUCUGGACCAAACCUGACGCUGAGGCGCGAAAGCUAGGGGAGCAAACAGG